UAGGGAAUCUUCCACAAUGGACGCAAGUCUGAUGGAGCAACGCCGCGUGAGUGAAGAAGGUUUUCCGGAUCGUAAAGCUCUGUUGUUGGUGAAGAAGGAUAGAGGCAGUAACUGGUCUUUAUUUGACGGUAAUCAACCAGAAAGUCACGGCUAACUACGUGCCAGCAGCCGCGGUAAUACGUAGGUGGCAAGCGUUGUCCGGAUUUAUUGGGCGUAAAGCGAGCGCAGGCGGAAUGAUAAGUCUGAUGUGAAAGCCCACGGCUCAACCGUGGAACUGCAUCGGAAACUGUCAUUCUUGAGUGCAGAAGAGGAGAGUGGAACUCCAUGUGUAGCGGUGGAAUGCGUAGAUAUAUGGAAGAACACCAGUGGCGAAGGCGGCUCUCUGGUCUGCAACUGACGCUGAGGCUCGAAAGCAUGGGUAGCGAACAGGAUUAGAUACCCUGGUAGUCCAUGCCGUAAACGAUGAGCGCUAG
rnacentral:rRNA from 1 species